rnacentral:rRNA from 1 species
CUACGGGAGGCACCAGUGGGGAAUAUUGCACAAUGGACGAAAGUCUGAUGCAGCAACGCCGCGUGGAGGAUGACACAUUUCGGUGCGUAAACUCCUUUUAUAGGUCAAGAUAAUGACGGUAGCCUAUGAAUAAGCGCCGGCUAACUCCGUGCCAGCAGCCGCGGUAAUACGGAGGGCGCAAGCGUUACUCGGAAUCACUGGGCGUAAAGAGCGUGUAGGCGGGUUAAUAAGUCAGAAGUGAAAUCCAAUGGCUCAACCAUUGAACUGCUUUUGAAACUGUUAACCUAGAGUAUGGGAGAGGUAGAUGGAAUUUCUGGUGUAGGGGUAAAAUCCGUAGAGAUCAGAAGGAAUACCGAUUGCGAAGGCGAUCUACUGGAACAUUACUGACGCUGAGACGCGAAAGCGUGGGGAGCAAACAGGAUUAGAUACCCCUGUAGUC